rnacentral:rRNA from 1 species
UCUAAGCACGAAACUUGCCCCGAGAUGAGUUCUCCCUGAGACUAUAAGUCUCCUGAAGGAACGUUAAAGACGAUGACGUUGAUAGGUCGGGUGUGUAAGCGUAGCGAUACGUUGAGCUAACCGAUACUAAUGAACCGUGAGGCUUAACCUUACAACGCCGAAG